rnacentral:rRNA from 1 species
ACACAUGCAGUCGAACGAUGAUCCCAGCUUGCUGGGGGAUUAGUGGCGAACGGGUGAGUAACACGUGAGUAACCUGCCCUUGACUCUGGGAUAAGCCUGGGAAACCGGGUCUAAUACUGGAUAUGACCUUCUGGCGCAUGCCAUGUUGGUGGAAAGCUUUAUUGCGGUUUUGGAUGGACUCGCGGCCUAUCAGCUUGUUGGUGGGGUAAUGGCCUACCAAGGCGACGACGGGUAGCCGGCCUGAGAGGGUGGACGGCCACACUGGGACUGAGACACGGCCCAGACUCCUACGGGAGGCAGCAGUGGGGAAUAUUGCACAAUGGGCGCAAGCCUGAUGCAGCGACGCCGCGUGGGGGAUGAAGGCCUUCGGGUUGUAAACCUCUUUCAGUAGGGAAGAAGCGAAAGUGACGGUACCUGCAGAAGAAGCGCCGGCUAACUACGUGCCAGCAGCCGCGGUAAUACGUAGGGCGCAAGCGUUAUCCGGAAUUAUUGGGCGUAAAGAGCUCGUAGGCGGUUUGUCGCGUCUGCCGUGAAAGUCCGGGGCUUAACCCCGGAUCUGCGGUGGGUACGGGCAGACUAGAGUGAUGUAGGGGAGACUGGAAUUCCUGGUGUAGCGGUGAAAUGCGCAGAUAUCAGGAGGAACACCGAUGGCGAAGGCAGGUCUCUGGGCAUUAACUGACGCUGAGGAGCGAAAGCAUGGGGAGCGAACAGGAUUAGAUACCCUGGUAGUCCAUGCCGUAAACGUUGGGCACUAGGUGUG